rnacentral:rRNA from 1 species
GUGCCAGCCGCCGCGGUAAUACGGAGGGUGCAAGCGUUGUCCGGAAUCACUGGGUGUAAAGGGUGCGCAGGUGGACCUGUAAGUCAGAGGUGAAAGCCCACGGCUCAACCGUGGAAUUGCCUUGGAUACUGCAGGUCUUGAGUCCCGGAGGGGCUGUCGGAAUUCGUGGUGUAGCGGUGAAAUGCGUAGAUAUCACGAGGAACGCCGAAGGCGUAGGCAGACAGCUGGACGGGUACUGACACUGAGGCACGAAAGCGCGGGGAGCAAACAGGAUUAGAUACCCCAGUAGCC